rnacentral:rRNA from 1 species
AAGUGCGAAUGCUGACAUAAGUAACGAUAAAACGGGUGAAAAACCCGUUCGCCGGAAGACCAAGGGUUCCUGUCCAACGUUAAUCGGGGCAGGGUGAGUCGGUCCCUAAGGCGAGGCUGAAAAGCGUAGUCGAUGGGAAACAGGUUAAUAUUCCUGUACUUGGUAAAGCUGCGAUGUGGGGACGGAGUAGGUUAGGUUAGCGUGCUGUUGGAUAUGCACGUUUAAGUUGGUAGGUGGGAAGUUUAGGCAAAUCCGGACUUCUAUUAAACACUGAGAGAUGAUGACGAGGCUCUACGGAGCUGAAGUAACUGAUACCACACUUCCAGGAAAAGCCACUAAGCGACAGGCUUUACUAAACCGUACUGAAAACCGACACAGGUGGUCAGGUAGAGAAUACUCAGGCGCUUGAGAGAACUCGGGUGAAGGAACUAGGCAAAAUAGCACCGUAACUUCGGGAGAAGGUGCGCCGGCGUAGAUUGUAAGGGCUAGCCCCUGAAGGUUGAACCGGUCGAAGAUACCAGCUGGCUGCAACUGUUUAUUAAAAACACAGCACUCUGCAAACACGAAAGUGGAGGUAUAGGGUGUGAUGCCUGCCCGGUGCUGGAAGGUUAAUUGAUGGUGUAAUCGAAAGAGAAGCACCUGAUCGAAGCCCCAGUAAACGGCGGCCGUAACUAUAACGGUCCUAAGGUAGCGAAAUUCCUUGUCGGGUAAGUUCCGACCUGCACGAAUGGCAUAAUGAUGGCCAGGCUGUCUCCACCCGAGACUCAGUGAAAUUGAAAUCGCCGUGAAGAUGCGGUGUACCCGCGGCUAGACGGAAAGACCCCGUGAACCUUUACUAUAGCUUGACACUGAACAUUGAAUUUUGAUGUGUAGGAUAGGUGGGAGACUAAGAAGUAGGAACGCCAGUUUCUAUGGAGUCAUCCUUGAAAUACCACCCUUUAACGUUUGAUGUUCUAACGAAGAUUACGAAACGUGGUCUCGGACAGUGUCUGGUGGGUAGUUUGACUGGGGCGGUCUCCUCCCAAAGCGUAACGGAGGAGCACGAAGGUUUGCUAAUCACGGUCGGACAUCGUGAGGUUAGUGCAAUGGUAUAAGCAAGCUUAACUGCGAGACAGACAAGUCGAGCAGGUACGAAAGUAGGUCAUAGUGAUCCGGUGGUUCUGAAUGGAAGGGCCAUCGCUCAACGGAUAAAAGGUACUCCGGGGAUAACAGGCUGAUACCGCCCAAGAGUUCAUAUCGACGGCGGUGUUUGGCACCUCGAUGUCGGCUCAUCACAUCCUGGGGCUGAAGUAGGUCCCAAGGGUAUGGCUGUUCGCCAUUUAAAGUGGUACGCGAGCUGGGUUUAGAACGUCGUGAGACAGUUCGGUCCCUAUCUGCCGUGGGCGUAGGAGAAUUGGUUGGGGCUGCUCCUAGUACGAGAGGACCGGAGUGGACGCACCACUGGUGUUCCGGUUGUGUCGCCAGACGCAUUGCCGGGUAGCUAAGUGCGGAAGAGAUAAGUGCUGAAAGCAUCUAAGCACGAAACUUGCCAAGAGAUGAGUUCUCCCUGUCUUUAAGACAGUAAGGGUUGU